AUUGCCUCCCAGUGUAAACCGGGCUUCUCUGUGAAGCUAUUUACAAAGUUUGGUCUCGUUUGAACUUUGAAGCAGAGUCUCUUAUCAGAUCCUACAAAUUGCAGACAUAACACAGGAAGAGCUGCUCUAGAAAGCUGAAAAUCCAAUUACAACAGCCAAGGGAAUGCAGUUCUUUGGGGGCUACAUUUGUGACCUCUGCCUUGAAGCACAGUCCCCGCGGGGAGAAGGGAGGCCCAGGCUCCACCUGGCCCUUGGACAGCACAUCUCGCCGCCUCUUUAUUACUCUUCCCUCUCCGAACUGUUGGGACCUUGGAUGUGAGUCCUGCUCUUGCUGGAUUUAUGGGCUGAACUCCUUGGCUAAGCUGCUUCUUCACUCACAAGGAAACUGCCGUGGAAGAUGUGGACGGGGAGCGUCUUGUAUGCAGGGUUUCCAGAAGCGGAAGGUCAACAGUAGCGAAAUGGAGAGAGGAUGUUACAAACAGUGGGGCUGAGAACAGGCCUCUCCUGCUCCCCAGGCGGCCUGGCCUCGGAGGCUCAGGGACAGGCGACGCCGCUGUGAUC